GCAGACACAUUCCAGCCAAUCAGCAGCAGACCCUCCCUCCCAGACCCUCCCACCUCCUGGACAGCAUCCAUUUUACAUUCAUUGUGAAGCUGCAUUCAUAGUGAGCUGUCCAGGAGGUGGGAGGGUCUGGGAGGGAGGGUCUGCUGCUGAUUGGCUGGAAUGUGUCUG
rnacentral:miRNA from 1 species